UGCGAGUAGAGAAUUAGAUUCUUUGCAUACUGCUCAGUAACACGUGGAUAACCUGCCCUGUGCUGGAGGAUAAUCUCGGGAAACUGAGCAUAAUACCCCAUAGGUCACAACGCCUGGAACGGUGUGUGGCUGAAAGCUCCGGCGGCACAGGAUGGGUCUGCGGCGUAUCAGGUAGUAGGGGGUGUAAUGGACCCCCUAGCCAUCAACGCGUACGGGUUGUGGGAGCAAUAGCCCGGAGACGGAUUCUGGGACACGAAUCCGGACCCUACGGGGUGCAGCAGGCGCGAAAACUUCACACUGCAGGCAACUGUGAUGAGGGAACUCCAAGUGACUGCACAAUGUGUAGCCUUUUCUUGACUGUUAACAAGUCUUGGAAUAAGGGCUGGGAAAGACCGGUGCCAGCCGCCGCGGUAAUACCGGCAGCUCAAGUGGUCGUCGUUUUUAUUGGGCCUAAAACGUCCGUAGCCUGCUCAGUAAACCCGUGGGUAAAUCAGCCAGCUUAACUGGUUGAAUUCUGCGGAGACUGCUGGACUAGGGACCGGGAGAGGUAUGAGGUACUCUCAGGGUAGGGGUAAAAUCCUGUCAUCCUGAGAGGACCACCUGUUGCGAAGGCGUCAUACUGGAACGGAUCCGACGGUCAGGGACGAAGCCUAGGGGCACGAACCGGAUUAGAUACCCGGGUAGUCCUAGGUGUAAACGCUGUGGACUUGGUGUUGGAGAUCCAUCAUGGGUCUUCAGUGCCGCAGCGAAGGUGUUAAGUCCACUGCCUGGGGAGUACGGUCGCAAGGCU
rnacentral:rRNA from 2 species